rnacentral:rRNA from 1 species
UACGUAGGGUGCAGGCGUUAAUCGGAAUUACUGGGCGUAAAGCGUGCGCAGGCGGUUUGCUAAGACAGGUGUGAAAUCCCCGGGCUUAACCUGGGACUGCGCUUGUUACUGGCAAGCUUGAGUGUGGCAGAGGGGGGUGGAAUUCCACGUGUAGCAGUGAAAUGCGUAGAGAUGUGGAGGAACACCGAUGGCGAAGGCAGCCCCCUGGGCUAACACUGACGCUCAUGCACGAAAGCGUGGGGAGCAAACAGG